AAAGACCUCUAAGAUCACCAAGACCAACUGUACACCUGCCACCUGUAUUGUUCACACUCCUUUCUAGCAUCCCAGAAAGUACUUGUCCACCACAGAACACCCAGCGAUGUCCAUUGAUUCCUAAAGGUGCAAGGACAAACACCACCCUGAAAAGGGUACGAGGGGGCUGGAGAGCCCCUCAUGGGCUGGGAAGAGCAAGGCUGGGUUGGUGCUCUCCCACGCACACCUGCACCCCAGGUUGGUACAACGCUGAUCUCCCCAGCCAUCAAUCCUGCUGCUCCCUGGAUGACAGCUCUUGCACAAGAGCCGUGCCAUUACAUAAAGCUCGGGCUCUUUGCAACUUCCCGCCCAGCGCACACCCGCCGUGUGUUAAUCAGGAUGGUUCACAGUCAGUCCUGGAGUAAACAAAUGCAACUUCACCAGAAAUCGCAGCAGCCACACCUCUUCACUCCAGGUGUGCGUUUUGGCCCACUGUCUGUUUCACCAUAGUGAUUAGGGAUCGGUAUUUAAGGCAGUUUCUUAACAGGACUUGGGAUCGGUGCUUUAUCUCCUCGUUAGCUUGGUAAUGUCAUUAAUUAAGGUUAUGUCAACGGACAUGAUGCCACAGUAGAUGGGUGUUAUCAGUGGCAACAGCCUUCCAGGGUUUGUGUUCACAGCCUGCCUACUGUGAUGCACCGAUUAGCGUCUCUGCCAUCACAGUGUUUUGAGGCAGGCUCUAGAACCCCCUAAAAGCCCCUGUGCUCUUUCCCAGCUGAUGAACCUGCUCAGAGUGGAGAACAAGGAGCACAUGCAUGCCCAAAGAUGCAGGUCACUACGCCUGCCUCGCCACCAGCUUGCUUGGUAAGGCAGUGAGUUGUAUGUUCUAAGCCCCACUAUGUCACAUAGGAUGACAGAAUCAGAGAAUAUCCCGAGUUGGGAGAGACCUGUAAUUUCUGAGAGGUUCAAGUGCAGUUUGUUCUUCUCUGUUGACAAGCCAAGUGGACAUUGCAGUUUCCCUCAUCCUGCUGAAGAUCCCUUGGCAAGAGUGAUGGAGAAGCAGAGACUCCAAAGCCAGGUGUGAGGCUAGCAAGGCAAGUAGCUCAGUCAUAGAGAGGAGGCGGCCAAGAGCCGCACCAUCCACCCACCUGCAGCCUUCCAAAGCAAGAGCGAGGCUUGCCCUUGAGGUUUGAGGUGAAGAGCUCAAGAGCUUCAUGGGAGACUUAAACAGUGGAAACACUGACUUUGGCUCUCCAGGAGAAGUCAGCAUCCAGCUGAGGUCAUCAGUCUCCCUUCGGAUACUCAAGGUCUUGCCCUAAGGAUCCACCUGGCCAGAUGUUAUCUAACAUCACAGAACACUGCAAACCUAAGCCAGUAACUGAAAUAAUUUAACAACUAAUGUUAUGAUAAUAUUUAAAUCUGAAUCAUAUAUGUGAAUCAUUUGGGAAAUCUUGGGAUGAAUGGGAUCUUGCAGAGAUGGAUGUUUGCUUUCUACUCAACUUCUUCCCCAGGCACUGCUCUUUUCCCUGCAGUCUGGGCACAGGACUCCCAUCAAAAAGUGAGGGAUGAGUCAGUCUCCAUGCCUGGCUUCAGUUCUGUGCAGCUUCCUGAAAACAAGCAUUGAGUUAUGCAGCGCAAUUUUGAGCUGUUUUUUUUCUUUUCUUUUCUUUUUUCUUUAAUUUGCCCACCAGAUCCGGAACUGAAACCAUCAAUUCAUUUCACUUGAAGUUCUGACUCUUGACUCAAAUCAGCAAUAGUUUCCUCAGCUAACACCAGGUUUCAGCCCACUGAAUCAGUUGUUCAGGCUCCUCGGGGCCUGAAGGUACCUGUUCUGUGAUGUGUGAGAGGUUUUUUGUUCAGAAAACAAAGUGAGAAGCUUCCCUAAACACUUACUCCACAACUUCAGGUCCCUUCUGGGAGACUCAUUUACCCCACAGUUGUCUGCUGAGGUGAAAGAGAGAAGAACUGGCAAGGUCUACCUGAACGCAUGAUUUUCCACCCUAAGCCACACCAGCUGAUGACUCCAUAGUCUCCAGCCAUUUCAUUUUCAGUCUACUCUCUAGGCCAUAUUGCUACCCAUCUCCACACACUGACUUAUGUCUCUCUGAUGGCUGCAUUACUGAGAGCGCUGGACGGGGAUGAGGACCUCAGGAUGCUGCACAUUGAUCUCACUGUGCUGUAUGAAAUAGUGACAGUGCUGCCCAAGCUCCAGCAAAGCAAACUCUUAGUACCUAUUCUCGUAUCUUUCAGAGCCAAACCAAAGUCCAUUGAGGUCAGCUGGGUUUUCACGUUGGUGACCAUGAGUUUUGGAUUCAGUUUUCUGAAAUGAAAGUACUAGGAAUAUGCAUGAAAUUAUUCAGUAGGAAAUUUGUUUCAAUUGUUCUCCUUUAUGGCAAAUGCUUUGGGAAUGAUUAUGUGCUGUGUAAAUAAACAUGGCCUUCUGAAUUUAUUCAGGGUAAUUCUGAGUGAUCCCAAAGAUCCUUUUUACUGUUAAGGCUACGCAAAGGGUCUUAUUCCACACAGAAAUUAAUUUAUAACCAAUUUGCCUCUCCUUUGUUCAGCUAGAACCAUAGGAAAACCUGAGUCUACAAAGCAUUCUGUAGUUGUUAAGUUAGAGUGAUAGAGUGAGUAUUAGAGUGAUAGGCAGUCGGGGUGAUUCCCUAGAGUGGAUGUAGCGAUGUCUUCAUUCAAGUAUAAUUUAUCCCUCUUCUUAUAAAGGAAUAAGCCACAGAUACAUAAACACCACAAUAGCCUUACAAUUCCAUGCACAGUAGGGAGGUUUUCUGCUUUCUCAACACACAUGCACAGGCUUACAAUGAAUGCUGAGGCCCAGAUCAGAGAGCAUCUCUUUGCUUCCUACUGUGAGAUGAGUUCAAAAGAAAGUAGUGGGAUGGAUCAUUUGACUAAAAAAAAUGUGAGUUGUGAUGGCCUUGGCAAACUUCUCUUGCCUUCCAUUUGCUGCAGUUUCAUGCCAUUUGCCACAAACUUUGAGGAGUUUCCUUCUGACUUCUCUGCCUAACAUGAACUGCCUUAGAAGGGUCAUCUUACAAAGAGUCUUCUCAUCCCCAGAACCAACACAAGUUAUUUGUAAAAAGUCACACACGUUGCUGGGGGCAAAGCAAAUCAAGACCAUACUGAGUUUGCUCCCAACAGAGGAAGGACUCCAUUUCGUCUUCCCAGAGCCCUCAUAGCCUCAAUGCCUACAUAGCUACUUCGGGACAGCUCCCACCCCACCUGAAUCUCAGGGAGGGCAGAUAAAAAAUGCUCUUGUUCUCUGUCAGAGCAUCCCCAGGGUCAGCACUGAGCCCCUUACUUUUGGAGGGCCUGUGUGUUGCUAGCACAAAGACUUAUCAGCAAAAUCACCCUCCCUGCACCUGAAUGUACAUGUAUAGCUGGCUCCAGUCAGGAGGGCUCCACAGCACACAGUUAGGUAGGUGCCUAUUCCACUUCCCAAUAAAGAAAUAGACAUUUGCCAUGUGAACCGUGGUGCUACUCAGUCAAAACAACUUGAAAUUAAAGCACCAUCUAUUAACAGCAAGAGGGUUUUGUAUGGUAUAAAUUACUUGGCAAAUAAUCCUGUACCUCAGAUACAUUUCAGAAAACUGUGACCUAUUUCUGGAUGACUUAUCACACCCACGUGUGGCAAAAUUCCUCCAAUUAAUCACUUGUGAGGAAUGAUUUCAAUGUUUUUUAUUAUUAUGAUGAUUACUAUUAUUAUUAUUAUAACCUCCUUUGGCCACCUUAAGCGUUCUGAGACAAGAUGAAAGUACUGGAACUUCUACUACCUCCUUGCAGAGCUGCUAUUGCAGGAGUGAAAAAGAGAAGAAUGGAUCAGUUUUUAGUAAAACCCAUGGUUUAUGUAAAGCAUCUGAUUCAAAACCUAUUUUUUGUGUAGCCUUUUCUUGCAAACUAAAAUAGUAGGCGGCAUUCAAACUAGACUUUGAGCCCAGUGAAAAGGAAACGCUGAUGAAAAUCACGACUCAAACACCCUUGCAUCAUUUAAUUCUAUUUGUUUUAUUGGCAAGAUACAACUCGGGCCCCGUUCUGUUGCUGUAGGAGGAAACUCAGUGGAGGGCAGGAGGCCAGCAUCUGGCUUAGGCGCUGCUGGACCAUAGUCAAACUCAGGAGGUGGAAUUUGGACCAGACCAAAGUCCACAGGAACUUUGCCAACAGCUUUCUCAGGACUUGGUCUCACCUAAGUGAGGACAUCAAGCACCGCCCUGCAGAAUGGAGAACGCAUUUGUUCUUAAAAUGGGCAUCUCUUGCACUGUUCAGGUUGUCCCAGCGUCAGCCCUGGUUCCAUUGUUCAUUCCAAGUAAUGGAGAGCAGCUGUGCAAUAGGUGUUGUCCACGUCACACUUCUCUGUAUGUGGAUGGUGGAGUUCCCCUCUCUUCAAACUGCACAUGCAGAAUUCAUGACAUCUUCCUUGGCUUCUCCAUGGGUUUGCAUCUCACUCAUGUGGCUUUGGGGUCUUCUGAACAACAUUUUGAACAUUCCUGCCUGAUUAACAGGCCCUCACCUGGGAGAAGCGAGGCUCUGAGUGAUCUCUAUGUGCAGUGAGCACACACACGCUUGUGCCCACAAAGCUGCUGUAGUGCAUGCAGACUGCAGAAAUCACCGUCCCGCUCUCAUUUCUACGAUCUCAAAGUAGCUUCCCAUUUUCUAUAUAUGAAAAAAAAUAUUUAUAGGUGCCGGGGAAGUGGUGACACAAACUCAACCUAAAAUGGCUUGCAGCAGAAGAGACAAAGUUCCUUUUGUGGCUGCUGGACAAACCCCGUUAUUUGGUCUGGCUUUGCUCCUCACUGAGCUGUGUCACUCACUGUUGCCACCCUGUAACAUGGUGACAUCCCAUCAUGGGAGGAUGGAGCCUGGCAUCGAGGAGCCACAAUAAAAAGCACCUCGCUCAGGAGACAAACACCUGAGAAGCUCCACAAUAGUCAUAAAAGAUGCUCAGCCUGCAAUGCCUGAUGAAAUAUGGAUCAGUGUAAUUGUUUCUUAUGCAGCCAAAGUAUAUCAAAAAGCAGCACAGAGACUCCAAGUAUUGUAUUACUGCUGCACACUUCAGCGGCUGCAGCUAACAGCUUAUCUUUAUUUCCAUGCUGACAGUGCCAAGCGAGUUGAUUUAUUUUCUGUGCUGUCUUAAAUAUCAGAGAAUAUUCGCGUAUCCCAGAAUCUGAGGCACAGAUACAGCAGAUCAGCUAAACGUGUGCUUAGCUGAAGUGUUCUCUUUAUUCACUCUGACUUGCCUGAGUGUGAGCCAGCAUCCACCAAGGGUCUUUGCAUGUGGCAGCAGUGAUUUGCUGACGUGGCUCAGAUAAGCCACAACUGCAUUGAUCGUUUCCUACUCUGCUUCUUCUGACGCCUUUGUUGGACUCUUAACAAAUACUGCUCCCCAUCAAGAAAGUUGUGUGAUUAGCAGAUUUAGACUGAAGAUUGGUUUCAUAUUAUUUGCCUUCUGGGUCUGAGGCUGUGCGGAGAACAUGUUUUCGAACUUUUUUUUUUCAACCACAAGAUUUAAAAACUUCAUUUUUAACUCUUUCUGUUUCUUAAACUAAGCUGAGAUUCUCAUGUAAUCACCUGCCUCCAGUAGCUGGGGCUUGGAAGACAGGACCAAACACAGCUAGAAGUGGAAACACUGAAUGAUCAGCCUUUCUCACAUGAGUAGUCCCUUUGAAGGUUAAGGAUCUAUACUAAGAGCAAAGUUACGCAGAACCAGAACACGAAAAAAAUAUAAAAUUACCCUCGAAAUACCUUGUAUAAACUUUGUUUUGUA